GCUUCGACUAAGGUUCGACUUGAGCGCCAGCGAGAGAGCGUUGCCGCAGGCAACGACCCGAAGGGCGAAGCGCGCAGCGCUGAGUAAUCCUUCCCCCACCACCA
rnacentral:sRNA from 1 species